AGUGAAUCUAAGUUUUAUUUCACCUCCUCAGGUGGGAAAGGUCGAUUUAUUUAAACUUCUAUAGUUUCCAACUUUUUAUUUGUGUCCUGUGUUCUGUCCUCAUUUGUGGUGGACCAUGAUGGACCUGGCAGCUCCAUUGAUCACAGCACAUUCAUCAGUUGGGUCCAGAGUCCCCUACAUCUGGAAGUUGGAGCAGACCCUCUCCACACUCUGGGAGCCCACAUGGAGGCAGGAAAUGGAAUUCCCCCAGGGAAAACUCGGA
rnacentral:lncRNA from 10 species